AAGGCUUUAAGUUAAUCAAACUAAUAGCCUUCAAAGCUAUAAUUAUAAGUAAAAUCUUUUAAGUCUUA
rnacentral:tRNA from 1 species